rnacentral:rRNA from 1 species
CAGUAGCCACGGUAAUUCGUAGGUGGCAAGCGUUGUCCGGAAUUAUUGGGCGUAAAGGGCUCGCAGGCGGUUUCUUAAGUCUGAUGUGAAAGCCCCCGGCUCAACCGGGGAGGGUCAUUGGAAACUGGGAAACUUGAGUGCAGAAGAGGAGAGUGGAAUCCCACGUGUAGCGGUGAAAUGCGUAGAGAUGUGGAGGAACACCAGUGGCGAAGGCGACUCUCUGGUCUGUAACUGACGCUGAGGAGCGAAAGCGUGGGGAGCGAACAGGAUUAGAUACCCCUGUAGUCCCUGUCUCUUAUAC